GAUGAACGCUGGCGGCGUGCCUAAUACAUGCAAGUCGAGCGAACAGAUGAGGAGCUUGCUCCUCUGACGUUAGCGGCGGACGGGUGAGUAACACGUGGAUAACCUACCUAUAAGACUGGGAUAACUUCGGGAAACCGGAGCUAAUACCGGAUAAUAUAUUGAACCGCAUGGUUCAAUAGUGAAAGACGGUUUUGCUGUCACUUAUAGAUGGAUCCGCGCCGCAUUAGCUAGUUGGUAAGGUAACGGCUUACCAAGGCAACGAUGCGUAGCCGACCUGAGCGGGUGAUCGGCCACACUGGAACUGAGACACGGUCCAGACUCCUACGGGAGGCAGCAGUAGGGAAUCUUCCGCAAAGGGCGAAAGCCUGACGGAGCAACGCCGCGUGAGUGAUGAAGGUCUUCGGAUCGUAAAACUCUGUUAUUAGGGAAGAACAAAUGUGUAAGUAACUAUGCACGUCUUGACGGUACCUAAUCAGAAAGCCACGGCUAACUACGUG
rnacentral:rRNA from 1 species